AUACCCUAUUAUUUUUAUUGUAAAAAUUAAAGCUGGAGUAAUAAUAGAUAUAAUCUUUAAACUUAAAGAAUUUGGCGGUAUUAUAAUCUAUUUAGAGGAAUCUGUUUGGUAAUCGAUAGUCCGCGUUAAACCUUACUUAUUUAAUUUAUUUGUAUACCGCUGUUUAUGAAUAUACUUUUAGGUAAUUUUCUAGAUAUAAAAGUAAUUAGAAUUUCAAGUCAAGGUGCAGUAAUAUUUAAGAUGAAAAUGGAUUACAAUAAAAUUUAUUUAAUAUGGAUUAUUAUUUAAAAUUAAUAUAAAGGUGGAUUUAAUAGUAAUUUUAUAAAGAUUAUUAGAAUGAUGAAAAGUUCUAUAAUAUGUA
rnacentral:rRNA from 1 species